rnacentral:rRNA from 1 species
UGAGGCCCCAGGUCAGGC